AUUGAACGCUGGCGGCAGGCCUAACACAUGCAAGUCGAACGAGUGGCGGACGGGUGAGUAAUGUCUGGGAAACUGCCCGAUGGAGGGGGAUAACUACUGGAAACGGUAGCUAAUACCGCAUACCAUCGGAUGUGCCCAGAUGGGAUUAGCUAGUAGGUGGGGUAACGGCUCACCUAGGCGACGAUCCCUAGCUGGUAUGAGAGGAUGACCAGACACACGUGAACUGAGACACGGUCCAGACUCCUACGGGAGGCAGCAGUGGGGAAUAUUGCACAAUGGGAGCAAGCCUGAUGCAGCCAUGCCGCGUGUAUGAAGAAGGCCUUCGGGUUGUAAAGUACUUUCAGCGGGGAGGCGUUACUCGCAGAAGAAGCACCGGCUAACUCCGUGCCAGCAGCCGCGGUAAUUC
rnacentral:rRNA from 1 species